ACGGAAGGCAGCAGUGAGGAAUAUUGGUCAAUGGACGGAAGUCUGAACCAGCCAAGUCGCGUGCAGGAUGACUGCCCUAUGGGUUGUAAACUGCUUUUAUAUAGGAAUAAAAAAAUCUACGUGUAGAUUAUUGUAGGUACUAUAAGAAUAAGGAUCGGCUAACUCCGUGCCAGCAGCCGCGGUAAUACGGAGGAUUCGAGCGUUAUCCGGAUUUAUUGGGUUUAAAGGGUGCGUAGGCGGGAUGAUAAGUCAGCGGUGAAAGUUUGUAGCUUAACUAUAAAAUUGCCAUUGAAACUGUCGUUCUUGAGUGCAAAUGAGGUAGGCGGAAUGUGUUGUGUAGCGGUGAAAUGCAUAGAUAUAACACAGAACACCGAUUGCGAAGGCAGCUUACUGGGAUGCAACUGACGCUGAGGCACGAAAGCGUGGGGAUCGAACAGGAUUAGAUACCCUGGUA
rnacentral:rRNA from 1 species